AUGAUUAGUACGUUUUUUGAUUUGACGUGCAAUAGACUUUCUCUGCAGUUAUUUUUUAGAAAGACAACUUUAAUAAUGUUUUCUUGUACCAUGGUAUAGGAUUUCUAUACCAUGCUUUAGCUACUGUAAAAUUUCAUCUUUUCUUGGCCCACAUCCACAUACUGAGACAGUGAAAAGCUGAGAAUAAUGUGCCUUCAAUGUAGAUGAUUAACAUUGAAUGGUGGUCUCCAUGAGCAAGAACCCAGUAUCCAGUACCAUCUUAAUCAUCACCGGGUGUCGAACUGUCGAUGUCUCUCGUUUGGUUUAAGUAGUGGACUCUGGAUUGACACAGCUAUCGGUAAGUGCCCCAUAAUUGUAAAUGAAAUAAGUAAAUCAACAGCAAGCCAAAGGUAAAUUACCAAUAUGUGUUUAUUCGUUCACUUGUUUUGCGGCUGUGUGCUAUUAACGCUAUUAACCCAUUAAACACGCUACAUUGCAAAUGAUCAAACAUUUUUAUCCCCCUCCC